UUGUGAGAAAAUAAAUGAGGAGUCGGACCUGCCCGGUGAAUUUUUAACGGCCGCGGUACUCUGACCGUGCAAAGGUAGCAUAAUAAUUUGCCUUAUAAUUGAAGGCUAGAAUGAAUGGUUUAACGAGAAUAAAGCUGUCUCUUUGCAAUUUUAUAGAAAUUUAUUUACAGAUGAAAAAGUCUGUAUUACAUUAAAAGACAAGAAGACCCUAUCGAGCUUUAGGAAAUUUAGUAGAUUAAAGACUUAUUGUGAUCUCAAGAUAGUUGUCUACUAAAAAUUUUAGUUGGGGCGACUAAGGAACAGAUAAAGCUUCUUCACUAUCAUUCUUACUUUGUUGGUUCUGAUCCAGAAGCUCCUGAUUAAUAGAAUUAGUUACCGUAGGGAUAACAGCAUUAUCUUUUUUGAGAGCUCUUAUCGAAAAAAAGGUUUGUGACCUCGAUGUUGGACCAGAAUGUCCUGAAGAUGCAGCAGUCUUUAAGGGUUGGUCUGUUCGACCAUUAAUAUUCUA
rnacentral:rRNA from 1 species